AACCAUAUUAGUAGUUCUCGAGUGAUAACCAGAAAAUGGUUGAAAAACUUGAUGUUUAAUCGCCAUUUUGAAAGUAUUUGCUGGUGCAGCCGAACGCGUUCUUUAAUUAAUUAAUUUUUUUUUAAAUUAAUAUAUGUUUUCGAGUAUAUCUGUCUUUGAAAAUCGAAUAAGCAUGAAGGAGUUUCUAAAAGUGCGCCAAGUGAGAGCUCCGCUUCCAGUUCGCGAUAAAUACGGGAAAAGAUCUGCCGGUUCAUCGUCGAAGUCACUUCAAUAUUGUAAUGAAGAAGCCUAGAAUGACGCUCCCGGUUGUGGUUCCGGCUAAAGAGUAUCGAGAAUAUUCAUCCGGAUGUGGCAUCUUUUCAUUCGUACAUAAUGAAAACCCGAAUGAUGGCGGAGAAGACCCGGAUGAAGAAGCUACACCCAAACACGGUCGAGUAGAAAAUCCGGUUUGGGAAAAGCACAUUCAAACUUGCCUUCACAUUUCAUCGGAAUCUCGCACAUAGGCGAUAAUAUUCAAGACAAAUGGUUCAUAGUAUCGCGGCUGUUUCUUCUGACGCGUUCCGGGUUGGGAACAAAAGUGCCUGAUUUUUAUGGUGAGUUUUUGCUGAUCAAAGCAGUCGAAAAUCUGCCUCGGACAGAUCCGGAAAGCUGUGAGGGGCUAGUUUUCAUCGAGGAUGCUGUUAGUGGGAACCGGUGAGGAGGCAGAAAAGCCAGCAAUUGAGCUAAACACGGUGCUAGCAUAGCUAAGAAAUGGUUCAGGCCAAGUCAACUGGACAGUCUCAGAUGGUAAAAGAAGCUGCAGUCAGAUCGGAUUAAAGAUGUUCCCGAAAAAAUUGUCGAAAACCAUAAACGCGAAACUUAAAAUUUUCCUGUAGGUGUGGCGGCAGCUUUAAAGGAAAAUCACGAAAAUCACAGAUUAAAA